AGUGAACGCUGGCGGUAGGCCUAACACAUGCAAGUCGAACGGCAGCACAGUAAGAGCUUGCUCUUACGGGUGGCGAGUGGCGGACGGGUGAGGAAUACAUCGGAAUCUACUUUUUCGUGGGGGAUAACGUAGGGAAACUUACGCUAAUACCGCAUACGACCUACGGGUGAAAGCAGGGGAUCUUCGGACCUUGCGCGAUUGAAUGAGCCGAUGCCGGAUUAGCUAGUUGGCGGGGUAAGGGCCCACCAAGGCGACGAUCCGUAGCUGGCCUGAGAGGAUGACCGGCCAAACGGGACCUGAGACACGGUCCAACCUCCUACGGGAGGCACCGGGGGGGAAUUUUGCACAAGGGGCGAAAGCCUGACCAAGCAAAGCCGCGUGGGUGAUGAAGGCCUUCGGUUGGUAAAACCCUUUUUUUGGGAAAGAAAAAAUGAGGAUAAAACCCCGCAGGUCUUGACGGUACCAAAGAAGAAGGCCCCGGCUAACUCCGUG
rnacentral:rRNA from 1 species